rnacentral:ncRNA from 1 species
UAUUAUAGGUGCUUACAACGUAAGUUAAAAGGGAAAAAGGUUAAAAUCCUUUGCAGCACCCGCUACUGUAAUGUGGACGAAAGUUUCAAACCACUGUGAAUAUUCAUGGGAAGGGAAAUUAGUAGGAUGAAGCUAAGCCAGGAUACCUGCCUAUAGUAUAU